rnacentral:rRNA from 1 species
UACGUAGGGCGCAAGCGUUGUCCGGAUUUACUGGGUUUAAAGGGUGCGUAGGUGGGUCUGUAAGUCAGUGGUGAAAUCUUCAAGCUUAACUUGGAAACUGCCAUUGAUACUAUAGAUCUUGAAUUAUCUGGAGGUAAGCGGAAUAUGUCAUGUAGCGGUGAAAUGCUUAGAUAUGACAUAGAACACCCAUUGCGAAGGCAGCUUACUACGGAUUGAUUGACACUGAGGCACGAAAGCGUGGGGAUCAAACAGG